UACGUAGGCAGCAAGCGUUGUUCGGAAUUACUGGGCGUAAAGCGCCCGUAGGCGGCCUGACAAGUUGGACGUGAAAGCUCCUGGCUUAACUGGGAGAGGCCGUUCAAAACUGUCAAGCUAGAGUCUGGAAGAGGAGAGCGGAAUUCCCGGUGUAGUGGUGGAAUGCGUAGAGAUCGGGAGGAACACCAGUGGCGAAAGCGGCUCUCUGGUCCAAAACUGACGCUGAGGGGCGAAAGCGUGGGGAGCGAACGGG
rnacentral:rRNA from 1 species